rnacentral:lncRNA from 10 species
AAUCAUCACAGUGGAUCCCUGGAGUCAGCACUUUCAAACAAGUUCUUCAGAUGAUUCUGUGAAUAUUGGAAUCUUUGCUUACCACGGUUUCUCAACAGGAGGAAUUUUGCACUGCAAGGUGCAUUUGGCAAUGUUUGAAGACAUUUUUGGUUGGGACAACUGGGAAAGGGGAGCUACUGGUAUCUAGUGAGUAGAAGCCAAGGAUGCUGCUAAAUAUUCAAUAAUGCAUGGCUAUCAUAACAAAAAAUUAUCUAGUCCUGAGUGUCAGUGGUGCUAAGGUUGACAAACUCUUACUCUAUUCUGUCCUACAUAGCUUUGAGUCUCCUUACCAUCAUGAUUGACUUCUUACCCACUGUAUAGAUGUCUCUUAAAUGUAACUCAGAGAAAGGACUGAACACAAUAAAGACCUGACAUCUUUAAAAGAGGAAGUGAAGAAGCAUUGUAUCUUAUUACAGGAUAAUUCAUUAAUAGAAUUUCAGGUGUUCUUGGGGGACAACAUUGGGAACUGAGAUUCCUCUAGGUGCCAUUAAAUAUCAUAUGAUUUCAGUUCAGCAUACAUGUUCAUAAUCCUAGGAUGUCCAUGGGCACUAGAAGAGCUUAUUGAAACAUCUUGGUACAAAGCUUUCUCUCUUCUUUUUUGUUUGUUUCUUUGUUUUUGGCUGUCCCUGGAAAAAUAUGUGAAAG